CCCCUCCUCCAAAGAGGUUGAGAGAUCCUCCGAGAAGGUCACCACCCCUCCUCCUCGCCGCCCUCUCCACUGCCGUCCCAGAUUAGUUCCUCCUCGUAGGGGCUGGGGAUCACCAUUGAGGCGAGGAAGGUUGGAUUCAUCCUGUUCAUCAUUAUCCAGUCCUCUAGGAAAGGCACCAAGACGGGUUUCAAGGAGUCACAGCCUUAGAAGGCCUCCAAGAGGAAGGAGCGGCUCAAGUGACAGCAGGAGCAGCAGCUCGCCUUCCCCAAGGAGCAGGAAGAAAGAAACUCGUGACGUGUCUUGUUCCUGAAGGACACCAUCUCCAAGGAGGUUCUUCCUGCCUCUCUACCCCCUCUCGGCGGCGGCACCGCCGCCGACGCUGCGCUAUAGACCUCCCCCCCUCCGCCG